CUGCUUUACUCUGGAGAGCGCUGCCCAUGAAGGCAGCCACCGAAGGGGCUAACGGCGGCUGAAAAUGCCCGCCGGAAAAUCUCAGGUGUCAGGACAGAGGGGUGUUG
rnacentral:ncRNA from 1 species